GUGCAGGGGGAUUAUUACGGGGAGCACCCGGCCCGCCUGGGCUUCUUCCCCAGCAGCGUGGUGCAGGAGAGCCAGUACCUGAAGCCCGGCAAGGUGCAGGUCAAAACCGAUCUCUGGGAUUUCUCCUGCCAGUGAGUCCUGCCUGGAUCCUUGCCCAGGGAGGGGCAGGGCCGGGCACUCGGCCCGCACCGCACUGCUUUCCUGGAGGCUGUGGCAACCCCCCCGCCCGGUUCCCUGCUCUGGUCCGGGGGCAGCUUCCCUGCUCCUGCCCCAUGCCUGGGGGCCAGUGCGAAAUAAACCCCCUAUGCAGCAA